AGAUUAGUUGAAAAUUAUUACAAAAUAUUCUAAAAGGGUUUUUUGUGGUACUUCAAGAAACCUGAUUAGUUUUGAUCUAUUGAAAUCACAAAAGUAGAACAGGCAUUUUAUUUUUGUAUAAUUUAGGAUUAGGUAUGCUUCUUUGUUCUAACAAGUCAUGUUUUCUAACCCUUCUUUCACUAAGCAAACCAGAACAGAUUUGAACUGUUGCGGGUUAUAUAUUAGUAUGGAGAUCAGCUCAGAUGACAUUAAAAAUGCCGUAGUGUUAUUCUUGUAUGCCAAAUCUUUUUUUCCCCAAAAUUAGCACUUUAAUUUUAUUUACUGUUAUAAUAUUUGUUUUCUUAGAUUAGCUAGGAAAUCUUAAUUUGGCCACCGUCUACUUUGACAAGUAAAUAUCACAUCCUACGAUUUUGCAACAUUAAAUUAGAACACUAGAAACUAAAAAAUUAUGUUUCAGUGAAUGCUACAACUAAGCAUUUUUUUUUUUUUUAAGAAAAACAAUUGUAUUAUGUCUUGUUGCCUUGCCACUUUGAGUAUCUUAUCUGAAAAUCUGUUCCUUGCCAUGUUUUUCUCCUGUUAACAUAAACUAUGUGCCCUGUGAAUUUCUGGGGACUGAAUUUGAAAUUGCUCCUGCCAACCGUUUGUGGCCUGGCGUGUAUCUGAAUGCCUGAAUAUCUCCCCGCUGAAUGAAUUUCGUAUUCUGCCCUGAAUUCACUCGGGUAUAUUGAUUGGCUGGAUGAUCUUGGUGCCGCCCACUUGACGUUUCCAGAAGAGUCACCGAAGGAAAAGAACCAGGAGUGUAGAGGAUGAUGAGGAGGGUCACCUGAUCUGUCAGAGUGGAGACGUACUAAGUGCAAGAUGUAUAGAAUAUUUUUCAACACUUAUUAACUUUUCAGAUAACAUAAUCUAUAUAUAGAUUAAGCUUUCAGGGAUUUGGAAAUCUUUUUUUCUUUCUCUUUGUUUUUGUUUUUAUUUUUCCAUUUCUUUUGGUGGGGGGGAUUGUAUUUUUGCUUUCUUUAGAAAUGUAAUGUUUGUUAUACAGAACUUCCAGAACAGUAAUCAAAUUAAUGAAAUUAGACCUAAUAAUUAUGUUUUUUGAUGGUGUUGACCAAUAAAAUAAAUAUCUAGUGAUAAGGAAAUUUGUAGCAUCAACUAGAAUAAUCUACAUUGAUAGCAUUUAUUGUGAUAAGUACAUUGUUUCCACUUCUUGAUAUGACUGAGAUUUAUUUCUCUCUUUUAGAUGAAAUUGUUGAUACUUUAGGUGAAGGAGCUUUUGGAAAAGUGGUGGAGUGCAUCGAUCAUAAAGCGGGAGGUAGACAUGUAGCAGUAAAAAUAGUUAAAAAUGUGGAUAGAUACUGUGAAGCUGCUCGCUCAGAAAUACAAGUUCUGGAACACCUGAAUACAACAGACCCCAACAGUACUUUCCGCUGUGUCCAGAUGUUGGAAUGGUUUGAGCAUCAUGGUCACAUUUGCAUUGUUUUUGAACUACUGGGACUUAGUACUUACGACUUCAUUAAAGAAAAUGGUUUUCUACCAUUUCGACUGGAUCAUAUCAGAAAGAUGGCGUAUCAGAUAUGCAAGUCUGUGAAUUGUAAGUUCUUGGUAUAUCUUAUUAAUUUGCUGGUUUUAUCCAUUCCACAUAUCAAAAUGUGCAUCCUAAGUGUGUACAAUAUUUAUUUGAUUAAAAAUAAAGGGGGAGGAAGAGUAGGUAUGAAGAGAUUUGAUUACAGGCUGUUGAUCCAGCAGUGUACAUUUCAUUCAGUAAGUGGGAUAUCCACCAUAUAACAACAUACUGUGUUGCACACUAUGAUUUAGACUUUUCUGAUGCGUAAAAAUAGUAACUUCGAAUGCUGGGUAAAAAUUAAGGCGUGCUAUGUCUCAUAAAGCUUCAGAGGAGGUAGUGAGUUUUAGUUACUGGUGAUUUUCUAGCAGACUGGAAUGUUGACCAUUCUUUGGGAAAGGAAUCAGAGGUUUUUUUAUUGGGUUUUUUUUGAGAUGGAGUCUCGCUUUGUUGUUCAGGCUGAAGUGCAGUGGCGCAUUCUUCACUCAUUGCAAACUCUGCCUCCCCGGUUCAAGUGAUUCUCCUGCCUCAGCCUCCCGAGUAGCUGGGACUACAGGCACACGCCACCACACCCAGCCAAUUUUUGUAAUUUUAGUAGAGACAGGGUUUCACCAUAUUGGUGAGGCUGGUCUCGAACUCCUGACCUCAGGUGAUUACAGGCGUGAGCCACUGCAUCCAGCCUGUUGUGGGGUUUUGUGGUUUGGUUUGGUGUUUUCUGAUUACAGCAACUUUCUCUUUAUUCUCAGUUUUGCACAGUAAUAAGUUGACUCACACAGACUUAAAGCCUGAAAACAUCUUAUUUGUGCAGUCUGACUACACAGAGGCAUAUAAUCCCAAAAUAAAACGUGAUGAGCGCACCUUAGUAAAUCCAGAUAUUAAAGUUGUAGACUUUGGUAGUGCAACAUAUGAUGACGAACAUCACAGUACAUUGGUAUCUACAAGACAUUAUAGAGCACCUGAAGUUAUUUUAGCCCUAGGGUGGUCCCAACCAUGUGAUGUCUGGAGUAUAGGAUGCAUUCUUAUUGAAUACUAUCUUGGGUUUACCGUAUUUCCAACACACGAUAGUAAGGAGCAUUUAGCAAUGAUGGAAAGGAUUCUUGGACCUCUACCAAAACAUAUGAUUCAGAAAACCAGGAAACGUAAAUAUUUUCACCACGAUCGAUUAGACUGGGAUGAACACAGUUCUGCCGGCAGAUAUGUUUCAAGACGCUGUAAACCUCUGAAGGAAUUUAUGCUUUCUCAAGAUGUUGAACAUGAGCAUCUCUUUGACCUCAUUCAGAAAAUGUUGGAGUAUGAUCCAGCCAAAAGAAUUACUCUCAAAGAAGCCUUAAAGCAUCCUUUCUUUGACCUUCUGAAGAAAAGUAUAUAGAUCUAUAAUUGGACAGCUCUCUAGAAGAGAUCUUACAGACUGUAUCAGUCUGAUUUUUAAAUUUUAAGUUAUUUUGUACAGCUUUGUAAAUUCUUAACAUUUUUAUAUUGCCAUGUUUAUUUUGUUUGGGUAAUUUGGUUCGUUAAGUACAUAGCUAAGGUAAUGAACAUCUUUUUCAGUAAUUGUAAAGUGAUUUAUUCAGAAUAAAUUUUUUGUGCUUAUGAAGUUGA
rnacentral:sRNA from 1 species